rnacentral:rRNA from 1 species
CAGCAGCCGCGGUAAUACAGAGGGUGCAAGCGUUAAUCGGAUUUACUGGGCGUAAAGGGCGCGUAGGUGGUUAUGUAAGUGAGAUGUGAAAUCCCCGGGCUCAACCUGGGAACUGCAUCUUAUACUGCGUAGCUGGAGUGCAGUAGAGGGUAGUGGAAUUUCCGGUGUAGCGGUGAAAUGCGUAGAUAUCGGAAGGAACACCAGUGGCGAAGGCGGCUACCUGGACUGACACUGACACUGAGGCGCGAAAGCGUGGGGAGCAAACAGGAUUAGAUACCCCUGUAGUCCCUGUCUCUUAUAC